rnacentral:rRNA from 1 species
UACGUAGGGCGCAAGCGUUGUCCGGAAUUAUUGGGCGUAAAGAGCUCGUAGGCGGCCAGUUGCGUCUGCUGUGAAAUCCCGGGGCUCAACCCCGGGCGUGCAGUGGAUACGGGCUGGCUAGAGGCAGGCAGGGGAGAACGGAAUUCCCGGUGUAGCGGUGAAAUGCGCAGAUAUCGGGAGGAACACCGGUGGCGAAGGCGGUUCUCUGGGCCUGUACUGACGCUGAGGAGC